rnacentral:tRNA from 1 species
GCCGGGGUAGCUCAAUUGGUAGAGCAACUGACUUGUAAUCAGUAGGUUGGGGGUUCAAGUCCUCUCUCCGGCA